AUUGAACGCUGGCGGCAGGCCUAACACAUGCAAGUCGAGCGGAGCGGCGGACGGGUGAGUAAUGCCUAGGAAUAUGACUGGUAGUGGGGGAUGACGUACAGAAACGGGCGCUAAUACCGCAUACUAUCAGAUGAGCCUAGGGCGGAUGAGCUAGUUGGUGGGGGAAAGGCCUACCAAGGCGACGAUCCGUAACUGGUCUGGGAGGAUGAUCAGCCACACUGGAACUGAGACAUGUGCCAGACUCCUACGGGAGGCAGCAGUGGGGAAUAUUGGACAAUGGGCGAAAUCCUGAUCCAGCCAUGCCGCGUGAGUGACGAAGGUCUUCGGAUUGUAAAGCACUUUAAGUUUGGAGGCGUUACCAUCAGAAUAAGCACCGGCUAACUACGUGCCAGCAGCCGCGGUAAUAC
rnacentral:rRNA from 1 species